UACGUAGGUGGCGAGCGUUGUCCGGAUUUACUGGGCGUAAAGGGAGCGUAGGCGGACUUUUAAGUGAGAUGUGAAAUACUCGGGCUCAACUUGAGUGCUGCAUUUCAAACUGGAAGUCUAGAGUGCAGGAGAGGAGACUGGAAUUCCUAGUGUAGCGGUGAAAUGCGUAGAGAUUAGGAAGAACACCAGUGGCGAAGGCGAUUCUCUGGUCUGUAACUGACGCUGAGGCUCGAAAGCGUGGGGAGCAAACAGG
rnacentral:rRNA from 1 species